rnacentral:lncRNA from 1 species
CUUGGCUGAACAAGUUGCUCCACUUGCUCAGCUGGCUGUCCCUCGCCAACGCACAGGCACGGCCGGGCGUAAGUACACCCGUUAUGCCAAAGGCUAAAGACUGUGAAACAGAGAGGGGCUGUGCUGGGCAAGGAAGCCCAGGCAGGCAGGAAUUAUUCAGAUAACACGAGUUCCUUCCUAAAAAAAAUCACUAUUAAUUGCAGGUAUCACCCUUCCCCUGCAGGUCUCACCUUGCCUCGUUGCAACAUGGAGUCGCAAAGCCCCCAAGGGCUUUGUUUUGAAUUGAUUAUUUUGUGCACCAGACGGCAGCUAUCAUCCCUCUAUGCCCAGGCUUCGCCCUCCAUGUAGCGACCAUCCUCGGGGAGGAAGGAAGGUUUUCCCCUCCCUCCUGCCUUCCCUGAGGCCACCCGUGUUGUCAUGGCAAUUCAGAUGCUCCUGCAGCAGGCACGGGGACAUCUCCGGGUUUCAGUGAGUGUUUGCUGGAUGUGCCCAGCUGGUGCUGCACAGCCAACUCUGCCCAGCAAAUCUCUGCGCACCUCACGCUUUGACCUGCGUUUCCGUGCCCAGAAAGAGGAAGGUGAGAAGCUGCAGAUUGAGAGCUGCUUUAAAGAAACGGACAGGCUCUGUGCUGGCGCUGGUCAGCAUGACGGCACUGAGGACGUGGAGCAAGGGCAGAAGACGGCAUCUGCUAUCCUCUUCCAUGUUAUUUUCAUGAUCUUAGCAUGCUGUGAUCCCCAGCAGGCUCAGCUCCUACUGAAGUAAGGGUGUUCAGCACUUUGUUGGUUUGGCUCCUUACACUGUUUCAGACUGGAACAUCUCCUCUGUGACGCUUUCCUUGCUCGUCUGCUGAAAUCGCCCAUCUCUCCCUGCCCGACUCCCACAGGGCUGCAGUCUUGUCUGAGGAUGCGCAUUUAGAAAAGGUAUGCUACUAGUAUGAGGCAUCCAGCAAUAUAAACAGGAAACCCUUCCACGAGACACCCCCACCACUUAAUCAGGGUUUCAUAGCCAAGAUACCAUAGCCUUCACCCCAAACAGGCAGAGAGGCGCUAUAUCU